GAUGAAGAACGUAGCGAAAUGCGAUAAGUAAUGUGAAUUGCAGAAUUCAGUGAAUCAUCGAAUCUUUGAACGCACAUUGCGCCCGUCAGUAUUCUGGCGGGCAUGCCUGUUCGAGCGUCAUUACGCCCCUCAAGUCCCCUGUGGACUUGGUGUUGGGGAUCGGCGAGGCUGGUUUUCCAGCACAGCCGUCCCUUAAAUUAAUUGGCGGUCUCGCCGUGGCCCUCCUCUGCGCAGUAGUAAAACACUCGCAACAGAAGCCCGGCGCGGUCCACUGCCGUAAAACCCCCCAACUUUUUAUAGUUGACCUCGAAUCAGGUAGGACUACCCGCUGAACUUAAGCAUAUCAAUAAGCGGAGGA
rnacentral:misc_RNA from 1 species